rnacentral:lncRNA from 1 species
GUAGAUAUAGAUAUAUUUUUUCACUUUUAACAUAGUAAAUACAGGCACCUAAUUUUAAAAAAUCAAAUAGUGACAAACAGAAGUUUUAUAAUCUAAGCAAGAGUUCUUUGUCUUUCUCCCUCCCACCUCCUCUCUUAAAGAGACAAUCACUUAUGUCUUUUUGCUAUUUCUUUGGUAGUUACUUGAUAAAAAAUUGUGCUUAAAUUGUUCCUUCUUGAUAGAUGAAUUUUGAUGUUAUCUAAUCUUUGUUAUGACAGAUGAAGAUUUAACUCAUACUUCUCCUUCCUCCCAAGAUAAAGGUUAUCUCACAACAAUUUUUAGUUAACUGAGUAAUCAGUACUUACAUUAUGAUUAUGCAAAUAACUUCUCACCACAGGGGCAAGUGGUAGCUCACGGUGACCUUUUUUUUUUUUUUUUUUUUUGAGAGAGGGUUUCACUCCUGGUCAAGCGAUCCUCCUGCCUCGGCCUCCACAUAGCUGGGACUACAGGCACAUGCCACCACACCUAGCUAAUUUUUAAAAUUUUUUUGUGAAGAUGAAAUCUCAUUACGUUGCCCAGGCUGGUCUGGAACUCCUGGCCUCAAGCAAUCCUGCAUUCUCAGCCUCCCAAAGUGCCACGGUUAUCUUUCUAAUUUAUACUCCUUUUUGUUUUGUUCCAUGUAUCUGAAAGCUUUAGAAGGGGGAAUGCUGUCCUGGUACCAUCAGAAGUUCUAGGUCUCCAAAUAAUGAUCUUCCCCAAAUUCAGUACAUUAUCAGAGCAAUUACAUAUUUAGAAAAGAGAUUAUGCAGCACAGAUAUUGCUUUAAAAAUAAAAGGUCUGUUCAGAAUUAUAGGAAUGUGAGUCUGAACUUUCCUUCCAAGUCGUAAUGCCUCACUGUGGCUUUUACAGAAGGCAGAGUCUGGAAUUUUUGCUUCCACUCCUAAGGGAAAGAGUAAAAAGAAAAGGGUGAGGCAGGCAGUUCUGCAUCCCUCAUUUCGUUGGCUUACACAACACUUUAUCAAGAACAAAUUCCCCCAAAUGUCCAUUCUCCAGUCUCUAAAAGUAAGAGAGUAAUGAACGCUGUGACUCCCAGUCCACAUGUAUCCCUAGAUGUGAUGCUAACUAAUGCUUUGAAGGAUUCUCAGCCAGAACCAACCAACUGCUCCUGCCUAACCUCAGAACUUUGAUCAGCAUGAGCCCAAGAGAUAAAAGUGGACAGUGGAUCAGAAUCUGAUCUACCUAAGUUGGGUGCAGUGGUGCAUGCCUGUGGUCCCAGCUACUUGGGAGGCUGAGGUGGGAGGAUUACUUGAGCUCAGGAGUUCAAGACCAGCCUGGUCAACAUAGCAAGACCCCAUCUCUAAAAAAAAAAAAAAUGAAUCCAAUGUACUCUUGGUGGAAAGACUCUACAAAUUUAUUUAUUUAUUAGUUUGUUUAUUUUUAUAAUUUCAACUUCUAUUUUAGAUUCAGGGUGUACACAUGCAGGUUUGUUACAUGGGUAUAUUAUGUGAUGCUGAGGUUUGGGGUAUGAUUGAUCCUGUCACCCAGGCACUGAGCAUAGUACCCAUCAUUAGUUUUUCAACCUUUGCCCCCCUUAGUUGUCCCCAGUAUCUAUUGUUGCCAUCUUUAUAUCCCGAGUAUCCAAUGUUUAGCUCCCACUUAUAAGUGAGAACGCAGAGUAUUUGGUUUUCUGUUCCUGUGUUAAUUUCUUAAGAGAAUGGCCUCCAGCUGCACUCAUGUUGUUUCAAAGGACAUGAUUUCAUUCUUUUUUAUGGCUGUGUAGUAUUCCACGGUGUAUAUGUGCCACGUUUUCUUUAUCUAAUCCACCAGUGAUGGGCAUCUAGGUUGAUUCCAUGUCUUUGCUAUCAUGAAUAGUACUGUGGUGAUCAUAUGAGUGCAUGUGUCUUUUUGGUAGAAUGAUUUAUUUUCUUUUGGAUAUAUGCCAGUAAUGGGAUAGCUGGAUUGAAUUAGUUCUGUUUUAAGUUCUUUGAGAAAUCUCCAAACUGCUUUCCACAGUGGCUGAACUAAUUUACAUUCCCACCAGCAGAGUAUAAGCGUUCCUUUUCUACACAGCCUAGCCAGCAUCUGUUGUUUUUUGACUUUUUAAUAAUAGCCAUUCUGACUGGUGUUAGAUGAUAUUUCAUUGUGGUUUUGAUUUGUAUUUUUCUGUUGAUUAGUGAUGUGGAGUGUUUUUUCAUAUGUUGUUGGCUGCUUGUAUGUCAUCUUUUGAGCAGUGUCUGUUCAUGUCCUUCACGCAUUUUUAAUUGGGUUAUUUGUUUUUUGCUUGUUCAAUUGUUGAAGUUCCUUAUAAAAUCUGGAUAUUAGAGCUUUGCUUAGUGCAGUUUGCAAAUAUUUUCUUCCAUCCUGUAGGUUGUUAGUUUACUCUGUUGAUAGUUUUUUUUUUUUUUUUUUUUUUUUUUUUGCUGUGCAGAAGCUCUUUAAUUAGCUCCUACUUGUCCAUUUUUGUUUUUGUUGCAAUUGCUUUUGAGAAUUUAGUCAUAAAUUCUUUUCCAAGGCUGAUGUCCAGAAUGGGGUUUCCUAGGUUUUCUUCUAGGAUUCUUAUAGUUUGAGGUCUUACAUCUAAAUCGUUAAUACAUCUUGAGCUAAUUUUUUUUUUUUUUUUUUUGAGAUGGAGUUUUGCUCUUGUUGCCCAGGCUGGAGUGCAAUGGCGUGAUCUCUGCUCACUGCAACGUCUGCCUCCCAGGUUCAAGCAAUUCUCCUGCCUCAGACUCCCAAGUAGCUGGGAUUACAGGCAUACACCACCACGCCCAGCUAAUUUUGUAUUUUCAGUAGAGACGGGGUUUCUCCCUGUUGGUCAGGCUGGUCUCGAACUCCCGACCUCAGGUUAUCUGCCCGCCUCAGCCUCCCAAAGUGCUGGGAUUACAGGCGUGAGCCACGGCGCCCGACCAGUGGAGCUAAUUUUUAUAUGUGGUAAAAGAUAGGGGUCGAGUUUCAUUCUAUUUAUGGCUAUACAGCUAUCCCAGCACAAUUUAUUGUACAGAGAUUCUGUUCCUCGUUGCUUAUUUUGGUUGACUUUGUUAAAGAUCAGAUGGCUGUAGGUGUGCAGCUUUAUUUCCGGGUUCUCUAUUCGGUUUCAUUGGUCUAUGUGCUUGUUUUUUGUUUGUUUGUUUGUUUCAUUUUGUUUUUUUGAGAGAGGGUCUCACUCCCAUUGCCUAGGCUGGAGUGCAGUGGUGUGAUCACAGCUCACUGCAGGCUUGACUUCACAGUCUCAGGUGAUUCUCCCACCUCAGCCUCCUGAGUAGCUGGGAUCACAGGCGUGCACCACCACAGCCAGCUACUUUUUUGUAUUUUUCAUAGUGACGGGUUUCACCAUGUUGCCCAGGCUGGAAUCAUGUGAUCUCCCCACCUCAACCUCCCAAAGUGCUGGGAUUACAGGCAGGAGCCACCGUGCCUGGCUAUGUGUCUGUUUUUGUACCAUACCAUACAGUUUUAGCUACUGUAAUCUUAUAACAUAGUUUGAAGUCAAGUAAUGCCUCUGGUCUUGUUCUUUUUGCUUAGGAUUGCUUUGGCUAUUUGGACUCUUUUUUGGUUCCAUAGAAAUUUUGGCAUAGUUUUUUCUAGUUCUGUGAAAAAUGGCAUUGGUAGCUUGAUAAGAAUAGUGUUGACUCCAUAGAUUGCUUUGGGCAGUAUGGCCAUUUUAACAAUAUUGAUUCUUCUGAACCAUGGGCAUGGGAUGUUUUUCCACUUGUUUGUGUCAUCUAUGAUUUGUUUCAUCAGUGUUUUGCAGCUCUCCUUAUAGAGGUCUUUCAUCUCCUUAGUUAGAUGUAUUCCUAGGUAUUUUAUUUUUUGUGGCUGUUGUAAAUACAAUUGCAUUCUUGAUUUGGCUCUCAGCUUGAACAUUAUUGGUGUACAGAAAUGCUACCAAUUUGUUUUCACUGAUUUUGUAUCCUGAAACUUUACUGAAGUCGUUUAUCAGUUCCAGGAGCCUUUUAGUGGAGUCUUUAUGGUUUUCUAGGUAUAGAGUAAUAUUGUCAGUGAAGAGAUAAAUUGACUUCUUCUUUUCCUACUUGCCUGUCUUUUCUUUCUCUUGCUUGAUUGCUCUAGCUAGGACUUCCAGGACCCUAAAAAUUGCAACCAAAACUUCAUGUGAUCAUUUUGCAUACUUUGGGUUUAGAGCUAAUAAACAAGAGCUUUCUUAUGACAAACAAUGCUGCAAUGAAUAAUCUUGUAUACAAAUGUCACCUUCACACACACACAUAUAUAUAUAAAUACAUCUAGAGGAUAAAUUCCCCAAAGAAUUACUGGGGCAAAUGAUAUAGGCAUUUAUUGUUGUUUUAAAUAGCAAAUAUAUAUAUACAGGGUCUUUUAUAAUCUGAUCUUCUGUGUUUAUACUCUCUGUGACUUCUAGAUCUAAAAUGUGCACAACUACAUGGCUAAAAUUCAAUUGCGUCCUCCAUGUAUCAUGUGUGUUAACUUUUCCAGGCUAAAUGAGAAUUGAUUUAUUAUAAACUGUAUUUCUGACUGAAGUACCUCCCAUGCUAUGUUUGCCUGAGGACAGAGCCUUCUAAUUCUACCUGUCGUCUACCACUCUACCCCCACACUGUUUCUAUCCGCUGUAUUCCAGGUUCAUCCUCCAUACUGCUGUUUAUAAUCGCCUCAACUCCAACUUUAGUAAUGCUCUACCUUUAGCAAAAAUGAUGGCUUAUAAUGAAAAGCAGGUCCACAGUGACUUCACUUUAGACCAGGAAGAAUUCUGACCCCACAAAGGGAGCCAGCCUAAAUGCCAGGGUGUCGUGGGUUACCCGGACCACUGCCAAGCAGAAGGAAUAUACUCAUUUCUCAGAGAGAGAUAUUGAGAGGGCUCCUUCUCUCAGAGAUCACCUCUACCUAAAGAAAAUAAAAUUAUUUUUCAUUGAACUGUACUUAGAAAAGGUAAGUAUCCUUUGACUUAGAUAAAAUCCCUUUUAGAAAUAACUUUAGCAAAACCUUCCAGUCUGCUCUUAGCCAGAAAACCCUAUUAAGCAAAAUACAAUUGUCUCAACCCCACAAGUAGUGUUCCUGAAAGUUAGUACCAGCUUUGUUAAAGAUAGAAGGCUGCAUGCUUCUUGCAUUUGGCAGGGUUCAUGAUUUGAUUUUCACUGAAAACAAUGUUUUGAAGUAUUGGACAAGCAGAGAAAUGAAAGAAACAUCUGCCUCAUUUCUUCUAGGAGAAUAUUUGCAAUACACUUUGAGGCCAAAUUUGACAAUACAUGUAUUAAAAGACUUUAACAGAAAGCUAGACAGUGAAAACAUUGGCCACCUAGUAAUAUAUUUUUUAAAUGAUACUCAAUGCUGGCAGGGUAGUAUGAAUUAGUUAUAUCUUGCUAGACAGAAAUUUGGAAUAUGUAUUGAGAGUCUUUUUGGCUGGGUGCAGUGGCUCAUGCUUGUAAUCCCAGCACUUUGGGAGGCCGGAGGCAGGCAGAUCACUUGAGGCCAGGAGUUUGAGACCAG